GUGGGGGGGGGCAGUAGAUGGUGGCCGAGAAGCAGGUUCCCUGCUGAGCAGGCUGCCUGAGGCAGGGCUCAAUUCCAGGACCCUGAGAUUAUGACCUGAGCCAAGGCAGACACAACUGACUGAGCCAUCCAGGCACCCUCUUUUUCAGAAAGUAACUUUUAAGUGAACCUUUGCUGGAGAGAACUAAUGAGGGACACUGCAGUUAAAGUUAUCUUACACAUUUCUUUUUAAAAUGCUUUGCUAAAAUUUGACACACAUUUUAAGUUUGUAGUUUAAAUGAAAAGGGGAAAAGUGUGAUAGUAACAGCUUUAGCUGUGGCAUAUGUGGUUUUCCUUCUAGAUAAAGGCCCUAGGGUAGAAAAAAUUGAGCUUUAAAUUAUAAUUUCUGAUUAAGACUUAGAUUUCUAAGUCAAUAGUAAGAAGCUGUUACAUUUUUAUGAUAUAGGGAAGAUUCCAUAUUUAAAAUAUGGCUGUGUUUUCAUUUUUAAUGAGGCCUUACAGAACUAUCAGGAAUUUGAAGAACAUUUUAAUUCACAUUUAAACCAAGUUUUAAGGGGCGCCUGGGUAGCUCAGUCAGCUAAACUUCUGCCUUCAGCUCAGGUCAUGAUCUCAGGUUCCUGGGAUGGAGUCCCACAUUGGUCUCCCUGCUCAAGGGGAAGCCUGUUCCUCCCUCUGCCUGCCACUCCCCCUGCUUGUGCUCUGACAAAUAAACACAUAAAUCUUUUUAAAAAAUAAAUAAAUAAACCAAGUUAAGACCAGGUAUUUUUUAACUUAUCUUUUUCAACAUCUAAGUUUUAAGAAACUGCUGCACAAAUAAAAGUGUCCAAAAGGAGAAGACCCAUAAGUUAGACAACAAGGUAUUAUAAGCCAUCUAACUUAUUCAGUGGAAAAAUGAGAAUCUGACUCAGAAACUCAGCAUUCUGAUAAGUCCUUAUAAUUUUUGAGUCUAUGUUUCUUUUCCUAUACACCUCCCACAACCAAACUUUAUUUGUGCUAGAAUAUAUCUACAAGAAAAUUCAGGUUAAGCAAUUACUUUUUUUCCCCAGAGAUUAGAUGCAUUAAAAUUUAACAUGAUCCAUCCCAAGAUGGACUUAAAGACAUGAUAUAAAAAUAACUUAAGGUAUGUGCCUGGGUGGCACAGUCAGUCAAGCUUCUGACUUGGUUUCAGCUCAGGUUGUAAUCUCAGGCUCAUGAGAUCAAGCCCCAAGUUGGGCUCUGUGCUCAGCAUGGAGUCUGCUUGAGAUUCUCUUUUCUCUCCCUCUGCCCUUCACACUCGUGCUCUAAGUUUUAAAAUAAAAAAAGAAAAGAAAAUUUAGGGAUGCCUGGGUGCCUCAGUCAGUCAGGCGUUGGCCUUUGGUUCAGGUCAUGGUUUCAGGUCCUGGGCUCAAGCUCUGAGUCAGCUUCUCUCUCUGUGUAAUCUCUCAAAUAAAUAAAAUCUUUUUUAAAAAAACCAAUUUAGCAUUUCCUACCAGAGUGUCAUCUAAAGAUAAUCUUAGAAUUUUAUAUCAAGGAAUAUUUGUUUUCUAUUAACUAUACUGACAUUAAAAGUGAAAAAAGUGAGAAACAAUACACAAAUUUGAAAAUACGGCAAAAAAAAAAAAAAUACACAAGUGUAGUAAGUUCUGGAAGCUAAUUCAUUCCAUUACUAAAGUAAUUUAAGUGGUUUCCGUGUUCAUAAAGCUGCCCAAAACAAUUGUUUUUGUUACUGGGAGGGGAUGGUUUUAACUUAAAAUCCACUCAUAAGAGACUUUAAUUGGCAAAUAUAAUCACACUAACUCACCUAAAAAUUUUACCAAGAGGCAGUUGAAGCAGUUACAGUUCUUAAAAAUGGGGUGCCAUGGGGCACCUGGGUGGCUCAGUCUGUUAAGUGUCUGCCCUCAACUCAGGAGGUCAUGAUUUCAGGGUCUUGGGAUCAAGGCCCACAUUGAGCUCCCUGCUCAGCAGGGACUCUGCUUCUCCCUCUCCCUCUGCCUGUCACUCUGCCUACUUCUGCCCUCUCUGCGAAGUAAAUAAAAAAUCUUAAAAAAAAAAAAAAAAAAAAAAAGAAAAGAAAGAAAGAAAGAAAAUGGGGUGCCAUUAGCAUUGCAUAGGACUGCAAGCUGAUUAUAAAGGGAUCCUGGAAGCCAGGCAGCCCAGGUGCAUGUUCCAAUCACAGUGCUUCACCAAGAAAAACACUCCUGUGACUUCACUUCCAAAUACCUUCUAGAACAAUAUCAGUCCAAAUUUAUUUUUUUAAUUUUUUAAAAAUAUUUUAUUUAUUUAUUUGACAGAGAUCACAAGUAGGCAGAAACUCAGGCAGAGAGAGAGAGGAAGGGAAGCAGGCUCCCCGCUGAGCAGAGAGCCCGAUGCUGGGCUCAAUCCCAGGACCCUGGGAUCAUGACCUGAGCCAAAGGCAGAGGCUUAACCACUGAGCCACCCAGGCACCCCAUCAGCCCAAAUUUAAAAGAUUUCUAUCAAAAGCCAAAUUACAGACAGAAGGAUGAUGACAGGUGCAUAACAUGUCAAUGUACUUAAUGACACAGAACAGUACACUUUGUAAAAAAAGGUUGAAAUAGUUAAAUUGUAUAUCAGGUGCUCUUAACACUUUUUAAAAUACAAAAAAAAUUAGUGUUCUAUUAAUAUGACAGGAAGAAAUUUCCACCUAAAGUCACAAGGAAAGGAAAAAAAAAAAAUCCUUGAGUCUAUAAAUAUUAAGUCUCUUGAGCAAAGAUUAAACAAAGAGUUGAGCUGUCUCUCUGAUCUUAGUGUCAACUAUCCAUUGUAGAGAUUGUAGAGCCACCACACCAUCCUAGCAAACUGAAAAUACAGAAAGUAUCUAUACCACUAGGACUUUAAACUUUCUAUUCCUUUAUUCAAAACAGCACAAGAGCAUAUUAACUGCUAAAGCUUUUUUUUUUUUUUUUUUUUUUUUUUUUUUACGAUUUUUAUUUAUUUGACAGGGAGAGAGCACAGGCAGGCAGGGGAAGAGAAGAUCAGCAGCCUCCCCACUGAGCAGGGAGCCCGACAUGGGGCCUGAUCCCAGGACCCGGAAUCCUGACCUGAGCUGAAGGCAGACGCUUAAACCAACUGAGCCACCCAGGCACCCCUAAAGCUUUCAGUUUUAAUUCUACAUAGUCUGUGCAGUGAAGGCAUACUGUGAGUAUAUGCAAACUGUAGAUACAGAAUAUGAAGAGCCUAUUAACUCAGAACCAAGUAACAGUAACUGAUUCAGCUUCACUGUUUUUUCUCCUGGCCAUUGGCAUGGCACCAGCCUCUUCUUUUCUGAACUGCCUAUAUCAGGCAUUUCAAUGAGAGAUGGUCUUAACAGCCACUGUGCUAAUACAGUUUCAAGGCAAACACUAAAUAUGCCCCAACUUAGAAAUAAGGUCUUCAAUCUCUCUGGCAAAUUCCCUAUUGGAGGCCUUCAUUGGGCCCAAAUCAAAACAAUAUCCUGAAUCAAAAUAUCUGAUCAACUUUUCUAGACUGUCAGUCCCUUCUCUGCUAGGAGUACUAAACAAAAAUAAACUGAUAACACAGAAAAAUUCACAAUUUACAAGGAAAAAACCUAAUUUUAGAUCCAAAUUAUAGAUUUAAGGUACAGGCAUACCUUGUUUUACUGCGCUUCACUUUACUAUGCUUCGCAGAUAUUGGCCCCCCCCCCCUUUUUUAAAACAAAUUGAAGGUUCAAAGCUUCAGUGGUGAAAGUAACUGCAGAUGUGGUAGAAACAGCGAGAGAACUAGAAUGGGAAGUGGAGCCCGGAGAUGGGACUGAAUUGUUGCACUCUCAUGAGAAAACUUUUAAUAGAGGAGGAGCGGCUUCUUACGGAUGAGCAAAAAAGUAUUUCUUGAGAUGGAAUCUACUCCUGAUGAAGAUGCUGUGAAGAUUGUUGAAACAAUUUAGAUUUAGAAAGUUAUAUCACCUUAGUUGAUAAAAAGCAACGGCAGAGUUUGAGAGGACUGACACCAGUUUUGAAAGAAGUUCCUCUGUGGGUAAAUGCCAUCUAACAACACUGCAUGCCAAAGAAACAAACUGUUCAUGAAAGGCAGAGUCAAUCGAUGCCAGCAAACUUCACCACCAUCUUAUUUUAAGAAACUGCACAGCCACCCCAAACCUCAGCAAAAACUACCCGGAUCCAUCAGCAACCAUCAACAUCAAGACAAGACUCUCCAUACCAGGAAAAGAUUACCACCCACUGAAAGCUCAGAUAGUUAGGAUUUUUUAGCAGUAAAGUUUUUUUUUUUUUUUAAAUAAGGUAUAUAUGUCAUUUUUUAGACCCAGUGCUACUGCACAGAGACUGCAAUAUAACUUUUAGAUGCACUGGGAAACCAAAACAUUCAGGACUCCCUUUACUGUGGUGGUCUGGAACCAAACCCACGAGAUCUCAGAUCACUGGAUAUUUGGCCUAACCCUAGUUUUCUCUCUACAAAAGGAUAAAAACAUAUUUGGUUAUCGCCAAAGAAUAAAUGCCUCCUUUCACCACUUUAAAGGAAAAUAGCUACAACUAGCCAAUUCAACUCUAUCUCCUCCAUCUGCAAUAAAUACUGGAUAAAUUUAGCUGCUUAAGAAAUUUCUAUUUGGCAUUAUGUAGAGAAGUUCGAUCACUAUGUAGUAUAUCUGAAAUUAGUAUCAUGUGUCAACUAUACUCAAAAUUUUUUUAAUUUCCAUUUUAAUAAAACACUAAUAUGUGGCUAUUGGA